UGAGGAACAUGACCUUCGGCGGGGGAUAGCCGGCCCAACGGCCGGGUAAUACCGCGUACGACCUUUUGGGGACAUCCCCGAUUGGUGAAAGCAGCAAUGCGCCGAAAGAGUGCCUCGCGGCCUAUCAGCUAGUUGGUGGGGUAAUGGCUCACCAAGGCGACGACGGGUAGCUGGUCCGAGAGGAUGACCAGCCACAUUGGGACUGAGACACGGCCCAGACCUCCUACGGGAGCAG
rnacentral:rRNA from 1 species